UGUUGACAGUGGGCUGGGUUUGGCCUGGUCAUUAGGUGUGGAACUCCCGGCUUGUGGUAAAUCCUGAUUGGAAAACAGUAUAAACAUAUUUCCUGGUAAAUGGGUAAACAUAUAGAGAGAUGGUGGUUGUUCCCCUCCCGUCACCAGCACACCGUAGAAGCAAUUGGAAGCAAUUUAGGUGUGCUCAGCAUCUGGCCCUCAUAAAAGGCCUCGAGUGAGUCAUGAUUUUGCACCAACAGAGAAGGCUUGUCUCGCUUGUGGAGAGAAUUGUAUUUGCCUCCCAUUUUGCCCAUGAAUCUCUCCACUGCUUUAUGAUGAUCAGUCUGAUUUGUGUGCCGAGAGACUGGUCCUGUGAGCUUGGUUGGGUCAGGGGUCACCCAGAAAAUAACCACCUUCCACUUCCUUUAAUUAUGCAAACUAGAGCGAGGUGACUGAGAUCUUGCCUCUGGUCUGCAAGACACAGGGAGUUUUGCAAGCCCCAGGGAGUGCAGAAUUUCCUGAAGAUGUUGCACAGGGGCUGGCUUUUGCUGAAGUCGUACAGUAUUCUCCUUUGCUUUGGUUAUGACUGCAGAGGUGCUGGGAAGCCGACUGGAGAGCAGCACCGUGGAGCGGCUGGCUCCUCUCCGUGGGAGGCGCCGCCCGCUCUUUGAGAGGGAAGGGCUCGGCUCUGCUGCCUUGGGCUAAAAGCACUGUGAUCCAGUUCCACCUCCUGGCUCCUUCAUUGGUAAUUGGUUUUCCAAAAUGCAAGGAUUUUUGCUGACCGACAGGGACCUGAAGGCUUGAAAAUUUAGACAGCAGAGAGCUAGGUGGCUGAGAUUUUACAAAAGUCCGCAUUUUGCUAGUUUAAUCUGGAAAAGGACACACAACCCAAAGAAUAGGAGCCUUGUUGCAGAAGAACCAAUUUCAUUCACCAGGGUAUUUUACCAGUAGUCGAGCUGGGCACCUGGCUAGGCAGUCACCGCCCCAUGCUUCUCAGCUCCAGGCGGAGCUGCAGCGGGAGGAGAGCCUGGACGUGCUGCCAUCCCGGGAGCCGGGCCCGACUCGCUCAGGCCUUUCUAGACCCAUUUCAGGAGUCUGUGGAGAGCAGCUUAAGAUUGCCCAGCGGUUGUUCCUACCCACUCAGUGGCCUGAGCAGUGGGAGCUGCAGACCUGUCUUGAGUGCGCUGUGGGGACAGCUGGACAGGCACAGAGGGCACCUGCAUGCCCUCAGACCAGCCUGUGACCUCAGGAUGAGUCGCAGUAAACUCAGGAGCUGGAGCAGGGUCACAGCCUUCUCCGCACGGCUUGCUUUUCCUUCUCAGUCCCUUCAGGACCUGGGAAGCGCUGAAGAUCGGACCUGGCCUCCUCUGCGUGUUCAUGGCAGACUGCACAGGACUCCCCAGACCAGCCUCCACACCAGACCUACCGAGUGA
rnacentral:lncRNA from 1 species